CUCUGUGGCCAUAUCACCCUGAACACACUUGAUCUCAUCUGAUCUGAGAAGCUAAGCAGUGUCAGGCAUGGUUAGUAAUUGGAUAGGAGAAGGGAACUCUGGUUCUCAUUAAUC
rnacentral:rRNA from 1 species